rnacentral:misc_RNA from 1 species
GUCGCUUUCUCUUCCCCUUUGGCCCAAAUGCAUCCUGAAAAGGUUCUGUAUCGAGAAGAUGGACUCUGGAUUGCUUUUGAUGAUCAUUCAACAGGGAAAGGGGCAGCUUCCUUUCCUUCAAAAUCACAUUAUAGUUAUUUGACAUCCGUUUUUCUAGCUCUUCACGAAAAAUUUCAAGCUCUUUCUGGUUUACAACUCGGGUAUUCCCGAACCAACGGCGAUCAGGUUGAAUUCGUGUGUCAGGUAACUCCUUCGACUGAAGCUCAUGCUUCAACACCUUCCCUUUCCGAUCACGUUUUGGCCUCGUAUUAUACAUCUUGAGACGCCGCACAGUGGCAGCAGUACGUGAAUUCUUGUUCCCAUCGCUUCGGUUGACGUCCAGAGAAUGCUUUGGUUUACCAGACACAUUUACCUUCUUUUCCUUCUUCUUCGCCAUCUGAAAAAUAAGCGGCGGCAGCACAGUCUCACCAGCGGCGCGGUUUAGGGCUGAAGCAAUGUGUUUCUAGGAGAAAAAUAAAUAAAUAAAUAAUAACAGUUGCCAAAAAGCAAAGCUAAAGAAAAUCCCAAAUCAAGAAGUGUGGUGUGGUGGAAGAAACUGCGUUAUUAGAUGGAACAAGGUGCGAACUCCAAAGAUUCAGUGAGGGAAAUAAGAAAUAUAUAAGAAGGUUCCAGGAAUCAAGGGUCAAGAUAUCAUGUGCCUAGACCCAUAAUAUAAGGAAGUACCCAAAGUUCAAAAGCUUUUUAUUUUUUCCCCCUUCUCUCUAGGCUCUAGCUGGGAUCAUUCUCUUGCUCUAACUUGAAGCUUGUUCUGAAAAUUUCCACACUGAUAUUCUCAGAAUUAUCCAAACCCAAGUUCUGCUUUGUGCAGAAAGCCCUUUUAUGCUCGGCUUGUGGUGGUCUCAUUAUACUAUUUGGUGGCUGCACAAGAUAUUACAGUAUUGGUUACAAUGAAAGUUCAUAAAGGAGGUACAGAAAGAACAGGAGGAAGGAGAAAUGCUACAGGAGGUAGAGCUGCAAUUGUCUUCUUCUUGUGGGUUCUGUUAAUUCUUGGGCAGUUAGGUUUGUUUUAUGCUGUUCAUGAAGAAACUGGCAAGUUAGUGAAGUCUCUGCCAAGAAAAGUAAGGUUUCUCGAGACACAGUCGUUUCAUGCUUCUCCAAGCCAAGUUCAGUCAUCUGUGGAUAUUGAAGGAGAUUCAGACACUGUAUACGGAGACGAUAAGAGGAUAAUUCACACGGGUCCAAAUCCUCUUCACAACUAGCUAGGCGAGAGUCAAAAACAAUAUGCUAGCUAUUAUAAUGUUUGAUGCUAGAAGAAGAAUUCUCAUAAGUGAGAAAAUUAAACAACCGUAAGAUAUUUUAUUUUCUGCUAUCAGCUUUGUGCUCUAUUGCUUCGUUUUGAUU